rnacentral:rRNA from 1 species
AUUGAACGCUGGCGGCAGGCCUAACACAUGCAAGUCGAGCGGAUGAAGGGAGCUUGCUCCUGGAUUCAGCGGCGGACGGGUGAGUAAUGCCUAGGAAUCUGCCUGGUAGUGGGGAUAACGUCCGGAAACGGGCGCUAAUACCGCAUACGUCCUGAGGGAGAAAGUGGGGGAUCUUCGGACCUCACGCUAUCAGAUGAGCCUAGGUCGGAUUAGCUAGUUGGUCGGGUAAAGGCCUACCAAGGCGACGAUCCGUAACUGGUCUGAGAGGAUGAUCAGUCACACUGGAACUGAGACACGGUCCAGACUCCUACGGGAGGCAGCAGUGGGGAAUAUUGGACAAUGGGCGAAAGCCUGAUCCAGCCAUGCCGCGUGUGUGAAGAAGGUCUUCGGAUUGUAAAGCACUUUAAGUUGGGAGGAAGGGCAGUAAGUUAAUACCUUGCUGUUUUGACGUUACCAACAGAAUAAGCACCGGCUAACUUCGUG